rnacentral:rRNA from 1 species
UACAGAGGGUGCGAGCGUUAAUCGGAAUUACUGGGCGUAAAGCGCACGUAGGUGGCGACGUAAGUCGGGUGUGAAAGCCCCGAGCUCAACUCGGGAAGUGCACUCGAUACUGCUUUGCUAGAGUAUCGGAGAGGUUGGUGGAAUUCUCGGUGUAGAGGUGGAAUUCGUAGAUAUCGAGAGGAACACCGGCGGCGAAGGCGGCCAACUGGACGAAUACUGACGCUGAGACACGAAAGCGUGGGGAGCAAACAGG